AUGCUCGCUUCAGCAACACAUACACUAAAAUCAGAAUGAUACAGAGAAGAUUAGCAAGGCCCCUGCGUACGACAACAUGCAAAUUUGUGAAACGUUCCAUAUUUAA